UGCCAGCCGCCGCGGUAAUACGGAGGGUGCAAGCGUUAUCCGGAUUUAUUGGGUUUAAAGGGUGCGUAGGCGGCUUUUUAAGUCAGUUGUGAAAUACUAGCGCUUAACGCUAGAACUGCAAUUGAUACUGGAAGGCUUGAGUCAAGAAGGGGCAAGUAGAAUUUAUGGUGUAGUAGUGAAAUGCUUAGAUAUCAUAAGGAAUACCAAUAGCGAAGGCAGCUUGCUGGUCUUGUACUGACGCUGAGGCACGAAAGCGUGGGGAGCAAACAGGAUUAGAUA
rnacentral:rRNA from 1 species